rnacentral:rRNA from 1 species
UACAGAGGGUGCAAGCGUUAAUCGGAAUUACUGGGCGUAAAGCGUGCGUAGACGGUCAUGUAAGUCGGGUGUGAAAGCCCCGGGCUCAACCUGGGAAUUGCAUUCGAGACUGCAUGGCUAGGAUGCGGAAGAGGGAAGCGGAAUUUCCGGUGUAGCGGUGAAAUGCGUAGAUAUCGGAAGGAACACCAGUGGCGAAAAGCGGCUUCCUGGUCCAGCAGUCGACGGUUCAG